UACGGAGGGGGCUAGCGUUGUUCGGAAUUACUGGGACGUAAAGCGCACGUAGGCGGCUUUGUAAAGUUAGAGGUGGAAAAGCCCGGGGCUCAACUCCGGAAUUGACCUUUAAGACUGCAUCGCUAGAAUUGUGGAGAGGUAAGUGGAAUUCCGAGUGUAGAGGUGAAAUUCGUAGAUAUUCGGAAGAACACCAGUGGCGAAGGCGACUUACUGGACACAUAUUGACGCUGAGGUGCGAAAAGCGUGGGGGAGCAAACAGG
rnacentral:rRNA from 1 species